rnacentral:rRNA from 1 species
UACGUAGGGGGCAAGCGUUGUCCGGAUUUAUUGGGCGUAAAAGGCUUGUAGGUGGCCACGCCAAGUCGGAUGUGAAAUCUCCCGGCUCAACUGGGAGGGGUCAUUCGAUACUGGCGGGCUCGAGGCCGGUAGGGGGAAGUGGAAUUCCCGGUGUAGUGGUGGAAUGCGUAGAUAUCGGGAGGAACACCAGUGGCGAAGGCGGCUUCCUGGACCGGUUCUGACACUGAGGAGCG